rnacentral:rRNA from 1 species
ACGGGAGGCAGCAGUGAGGAAUAUUGGUCAAUGGGCGGAAGCCUGAACCAGCCAAGUCGCGUGAAGGAUGAAGGUAUUAUGUAUUGUAAACUUCUUUAGUCGCAGAGAAAUAAGGCGGACGAGUCCGCUGAUGCUAGUAUGCGAAGAAUAAGGAUCGGCUAACUCCGUGCCAGCAGCCGCGGUAAUACGGAGGAUCCGAGCGUUAUCCGGAUUUAUUGGGUUUAAAGGGUGCGCAGGCGGCUUUUUAAGUCAGUGGUCAAAUCGUGGGGCUCAACCCCAUCCCGUCAUUGAUACUGGAGAGCUUGAUUGCGGUCGAGGUUGGCGGAAUUCGUCGUGUAGCGGUGAAAUGCAUAGAUAUGACGAAGAACACCGAUUGCGUAGGCAGCUGACCAAGCCGUAAAUGACGCUCAUGCACGAAAGUGCGGGGAUCGAACAGGAUUAGAUACCCUGGUA